rnacentral:rRNA from 1 species
AUUGAACGCUGGCGGCAGGCCUAACACAUGCAAGUCGAGCGGAUGAAGGGAGCUUGCUCCUGGAUUCAGUGGCGGACGGGUGAGUAAUGCCUAGGAAUCUGCCUGGUAGUGGGGGAUAACGUCCGGAAACGGGCGCUAAUACCGCAUACGUCCUGAGGGAGAAAGUGGGGGAUCUUCGGGCCUCACGCUAUCAGAUGAGCCUAGGUCGGAUUAGCUAGUUGGUGGGGUAAAGGCCUACCAAGGCGACGAUCCGUAACUGGUCUGAGAGGAUGAUCAGUCACACUGGAACUGAGACACGGUCCAGACUCCUACGGGAGGCAGCAGUGGGGAAUAUUGGACAAUGGGCGAAAGCCUGAUCCAGCCAUGCCGCGUGUGUGAAGAAGGUCUUCGGAUUGUAAAGCACUUUAAGUUGGGAGGAAGGGCAGUAAGUUAAUACCUUGCUGUUUUGACGUUACCAACAGAAUAAGCACCGGCUAACUUCGUG